rnacentral:rRNA from 1 species
UACGUAGGGGGCAAGCGUUGUCCGGAAUCAUUGGGCGUAAAGCGCGCGUAGGCGGCCCGAUAAGUCCGCUGUAAAAGUCCAGGGCUCAACCCUGGAAAGCCGGUGGAUACUGUCGGGCUAGAGUCCGGAAGAGGCGAGUGGAAUUCCUGGUGUAGCGGUGGAAUGCGCAGAUAUCAGGAGGAACACCAAUAGCGAAGGCAGCUAACUAGCUUUAACUGACGCUGAGGCACGAAAGUGUGGGGAUCAAACAGG